ACACUCCUGCAGCUUGGCUAGGGUAGGGAUUCCUGACCAACAGUCCCAUAAGAUCUUAUCCAGUCAGGAGGUACUGGACCAAUCUGAAGUGCAGCCAAGACCGGGAGCCACAGACCUGGAACCUGGGUACUCAAAGAGUUGUCCACGUGCCAGCAGCACUGGCCCCUCCAGGAGCUUGUUAGAAAUGUAGAACCUCAGAGCCUACAUUAAAGAUAUUGAAUCGGAGUCUGCACGUCACAUCUGAGAAGCCAUGAGCUAAGCUGAUGCCAUUCAGCUGGGUAGCAUCGCAGUCACUGUGCAACUUUUAAACCUACAGCUGCCCAGGCCCACUGCAGACCUGCUAAAUUCGAGCUCCUUGUAGUGGGGCCAGGGCCCUGGGACUUCACACAAAACUCUGCAAGUCAUCACUGAUGAGAAAACCAAGACUCGAUGAGAGUCUCCUGAGCUCGGGGGAAGAAGCUGCAUAACCGGCACACUUCCAGAAAGGACCGAGGAAGAGAGCGUCGCUUCAGCUAGGGAUCUGAUUAGUCAUGCCUGGUAGGCUCUGCUGAGCUGGGGGCUCUUGGGUUUUGCUUGUUGAGCUGAAUUAAUAUAUUAAUGGAUUUCA
rnacentral:lncRNA from 1 species